rnacentral:lncRNA from 1 species
CUCAGAACUGUGUAUAGUAGUGGUAUUUACAGAUGGUUGGGUGACAGAAAAAGUAAAUAACUACGUUUCAUUACAGUUUCCUGUUUCCUUCUUGAUCCUUCACAAGGGAAGAUUUUCUUUUUUAGAGGUACAGAUUCCUCUUAGUCAAGUCCUGAUUAAAACUCCAGCUAAGACAUUAGUAAGCCUUGGUUAGUGAAGUGGCAUCAGGAAGUGCCUACAUUUUCAUGGCCUGGUAGCGUUCAGUGAAAAUGUUCAUUAACAGACACAGGCCAUUCAGUCCCGAAUCCCAAGACACUGAAGACUCUGUUUGAAUCAGACUCACGGGUUCCUUCCUAGCCACUCUCAGGGACAGGAAUGCUUCUGGUGAAGAAGUUUUCGGUGGUGGUUCAUGGAGCUUCCCUACACCAACUUGGAAAUGGCAUUCAUUUUAUUGGCUUUUGUUAUCUUUUCCUUAUUUACCCUGGCUUCCAUCUACACUACUCCGGAUGACAGUAAUGAAGAGUCUCACUCUGUCAGCCAGGCUGGAAUGCAGUGGCGUGAUCUUGGCUCACUGAAACAUCGGUCUCCCAGGUUCAAGCGAUUCUCCUGCCUCAGCCUCCUGAGUGGCUGGAACUACAGAGGAAGAACAUGAAAAAAAGGGAAGGGAAAAGAAAAGGAAAAAGUCUGAAAAGAAGAAAAAUUGCUCAGAGGAAGAGCACAGAAUUGAAGCUGUUGAGCUAUGAUCUCAUAGCCACCGAUAUUUCUCGCUAAGAAGACAGAGGAAGCAAUCCAUGGGAACUACUUAUCCACAGUUACACAAGAGGAGGGGAUAAUGAAGAAAGUUAAAAUCACUUACUGAUUAAACACGAUGAUAAUAACCAUUAAUGAACUCAAUACUCGGGAAAGGCUUCACAUUUCUGGGACUCAGCAUUAUCCAAAAUAUCUAUUAAGAGCCAUACACCAUUCUAGCUGCAAUUGAUUAUACAAAAAAAAAAAGACCAAAGUGGUUACAAUAAUAAAAUAGAACACAGAGAAAGAAGAAAACUACAUGUGUUACAAUUUGCUCUAAGUCCUUGUGGAAAAAGAUAUUAAAGUACAAGGAAAAGACCAUAAGUCUUGCAGGAAGUAAAAACAUGAAGAGAAAAAUGUGGAGAGACAAGUAAACUGCGUUUUUCCGCAGUCUCAGAAUUUAUCCCGCUCUGUGUAACCCAGAAGUGACUGUGAAGGCGCAACCUGUGUAUGUAGCCUGGACCCCACAUGCUCUGCUACUGAGCUUGAGUCAUUAAUCUUCUGGCCACCGAUUUUUCUCUCAAAAAUUACAUGAGCUUCCUCCAUCAAUAAAUAUCUUCAGUGCUCUAUCCAUUAAUUUCCCAUCCACUGAAUAAAGGUUACAACAACUAUUCAUGAGGUUAGGUUUGUUUAAAAAUACAGUUUACAUCAAUUAAGUGGGGUACAUUAGGGAAUUAGAAGGAGAACAGAGAAGGCAGCAGUGAGUGCUUCCAACCCAACUUCAGGGGCUGGGACAAGGUGAAAUUACAGAGAUCACAAACUGAAGAUACUAAACAGGAAUGAAAGGGGCUGGUCUCACAUGUAUCACAGCCUACCAUUUCCAGAGACACAGCUCUCAGGUUCCAAAGGGACUAGUUGACAUCAAUUGCAAGAUGGUUUUCUAGAUCCCACAGCCUUUCUCAACAACAGUUUACAAGAGAAUUAGCCAUACAAAAAAUUAUUUGAGUGACUGUUUUUUCAAUUUUCUGAAGGGUUGUGCAUAACUAGUACUAUUCUAAUUGCACAGGAGAGAAAUUAACUCAUAACAUUAAUGCCUUAGGGUAGGUGUUGACAAACUAAGAACAUAGCUGCCCACCCGUUUUUGUAAAAUUUUUUUUGUAUUUUUAUUUGUUUAUUUAUUUUAUUUUGAGUGGAGUCUCGCUCUUUUGCCCAGGAUGGAGUGCAGUGGCACAAUCUUGGCUCACUGCAACCUCUGCCUCAUGGGUUCAAGCAAUCCUCUCACCUCAGCCUCCCAAGUAGCUGGGAUUGCAAGCGUGCACCACCACACGUGGCUAGUUUUUGUAUUUUUUGUAGAGGCGAAGUUUCACCAUGUUGGCCAGGCUGGUCUUGAACACCUGACCUCAAGUAAUCCACCCACUUCGGCCUCCCAAAGUGCUGGGAUUACAGGUGUGAGCCACCGCACCCGGCCCCAUUUUUGUAAAUAUGGUUUUUUGGUAACACAGUCAUGCUCAUUCAUUUUUUGUAUUGACUAUGACUGUUUUGAAGCUAUAAUGGUAGAACUGAGUAGAUACAGAUAUGUCAUUGCUUACAAUUGCAUAUAAACUUUGGAAGAGUAAACAAGAAAUUGGUAGCAUUAUUUGUUCCUAAUGAGGAGAACUAAGGGUCUGUGAACAAUUGCGGGAAGGAG